CCCUUUAUUUUCAAAAAAAAAAACUGAGGGUCUCUCAAACUCUCUCAACCCGUGAGAAAUAAACAAAGGGGGCCUUCUUUGGCUUUUGUCGCGCUGUCUCGUGGUCGGCAGUCGGCGUCAGGAAAGAAAGGCCUUUUAGCCCUCGUUGCGGUAUCCUUGAGAGCCAAGCUCUCUCAACCCGUGAGAAAUAAACAAAGGGGAGACCAUCGACCCUUUUUGACCCGAAUCGGGUGACGGAGGAGAGACCCUCCGACGGCGCAGCCACGACCAUCUCCGGUGGUCUGACGCGCAUGGAGGAGGCUAUGGUGGUGGUGGCGUGCGAUGUGCGGAUGGGACGUGCGACGAACGGCGGCAACAGCAAGGCCAGAAGACCUUGGUGCGGCGCACCUAAGGUUUUUUGUUUAUUGACUUUUGUUGGGCUAGGGUUAAAUCUGAUUUGGGCUAGGACUUAGGGCUUGAUUGGGUUCAAUUUGGGUUCUAAUUUUGGACUAUUGAAUUGUUAAUGGACUGUUAUAUUUUUAGGUUUGGUUUAUUUAGUACGGGCCCGGGCUAAUUGGGCCUGCUACAGGUGUGAUGAUUGAAUGAUCCAUAUAUCCAUCUUGAUUCCAUGUUCGGUUAAUAGGGAUUAUGAAAACAUGUAAUUCACUUAUCGACAUUAGAUAUUGAAAUUAUACAAUUGUAACUUGAUGUUUAAGCAAUAAAUGAUGGCAUAUGAAUUGAUUAUUA